rnacentral:rRNA from 1 species
AAUUUUUGACAAUGGGGGAAACCCUGAUCCGGCCAUCCCGCGUGUAUGAUGAAGGCCUUCGGGUUGUAUAGUACUUUUUGCAGAGUAGAAAAGGCAUCCCCUAAUACGGGAUGCUGCUGACGGUAUCUGCAGCAUAAGCACCGGCUAACUACGUGUCAGCAGCCGCGGUAAUACGUAGCGUGCAAGCGUUAAUCCGAAUUACUGUGCGUAAAGCGUGUGUAGGCGGUUCGGAAAGAAAGAUGUGAAAUCCCAGGGCUCAACCUUGGAACUGCAUUUUUAACUGCCGAGCUAGAGUAUGUCAGAGGGGGGUAGAAUACCACGUGUAGCAGUGAAAAGCGUAGAUAUGUGGAGGAAUACCGAUGGCGAAGGCAGCCCCCUGGGAUAAUACUGACGCUCAGACACGAAAGCGUGGGGAGCAAACAGG